GGGGGUGUACUGGUUUCGACGGGGAUCGCCGGGGGUAUGAGAAGCGAGCCGUGUUCCCUGAACACGUUAAACACGGGGAAUUAAAAAUUAACUGACAACAGCGAAAUCGCUUUCGCGGCCUAAGGGCUGCGCGUCGGCCUCAAGCGCUCACGGCUUGAGUCACCGGCGUCAUUGAUGUGAGGAACUGGCCCGCCAAAGCUUUGAGGCGAAGCCGGAAUCAUGAAGCUACCGAGGUUCGGAGCCCGGCUGUGGGCGCCUGACUGAGGGAAAUCAAAAACGCAGCCUGCGCUCGGAGAAACUUGUGCAAUCGGAUCUUCGGACAGGAGUUCGAUUCUCCUCACCUCCACCA
rnacentral:tmRNA from 1 species